CAGCCGCCGCGGUAAUACCAGCCCCUCGAGUGGUGGGGAUGAUUAUUUGGCCUAAAGCGUCCGUAGCCGGCCGGGUAAGUUUCCCGUUAAAUCCAACGUCUCAAGCGUUGGACUGCGGGAAAUACUGCCUGGCUAGAGAGUGGGAGAGGUCAGCGGUAUUCUGGGGGUAGGGGCGAAAUCCUUUGAUCCCCGGAGGACCACCAGUGGCGAAGGCUGCUGACUAGAACACGUCUGACGGUCAGGGACGAAAGCUGGGGUAGCGAACCGGAUUAGAUACCCGGGUAGUCCCAGCUGUAAACGAUGCAUGCUAGGUGUUGGGUUGGCCACGAGCCACCCCAGUGCCGCAGGGAAGCCGUUAAGCAUGCCGCCUGGGAAGUACGAUCGCAAGAUUGAAACUUAAAGGAAUUGGCGGGGGAGCACCACCAGGCGUGAAGCCUGCGGUUUAAUUGGAGUCAACGCCGGGAACCUUACCGGAAGCGACAGCAGAGUGAAGGCCAGAUUGAAGAUCUUGCCAGACGAGCUGAGAGGAGGUGCAUGGCCGUCGCCAGUUCGUGCCGUGAGGUGUUCUCUUAAGUGAGAUAACGAACGAGACCCGUGCCACAUGUUGCCACCAGAAUCUAAAGGAUUGCUGAGCACUCUUGUGGGACCGCAGCCGAUAAGGCUGAGGAAGGGGCGGGCAACGGCAGGUCAGUAUGCCCCGAAUCUUCCGGGCCACACGCGGGCUGCAAUGGUAUGGACAGAGGGCUGCCACCCCGAAAGGGGGAGCCAAUCCCUAAACCAUACCUCAGUUGGGAUUGAGGGCUGCAACCCGCCCUCAUGAACAUGGAAUGCCUAGUAACUGCCAGUCAUCAUCUGGCGGUGAAUACGUCCCUGCCCCUUGCACAC
rnacentral:rRNA from 1 species